rnacentral:RNase_P_RNA from 1 species
CCCGCAGACCGCCUUAUCGCUCCAAGCAAUUGGGGAGGAAAGUCCGGACACCACAGAGUAGCAUAGCGGGUAACGCCCGUCCGUUGAAAAACGAGGACAAGUGCAACAGAAAGUAUGUACAGGUAAGGCUGUAGUGAAACCAGGUAAACUCUAUGCGGUGAAAUUCCAAGUAUAUCGGCUCCCGAUGUUUCGGGAUAAAAAGGGCUACUCGUCCGUUGUCGAAGGGUAGGAAGCUAGAACGCGUUGGCAACAACGAGUCCAGAUAAAUGAUAAGGGUCCCGAUUUAUCGGGAUACAGAAUCCGGCUUACAGGUCUGCUUUUUUU